AAUUUAUAUUAUCUUUUUAAAAUUAAUUUUAUUAAUAAAUUAUAUAUAAAAUUUAAGUAUAAUUAAGUAUUUAAAUUUAAUAUUUAAUAAUGAAUUCUGAAACAAUAAAUGAAUGUUUAAUUCGGUAAUCAAUAUAAGGAAAGAUAAAUGUAGGUGCCAACAAUAGCGGUUAAACUUAAUUUAUAAAUUAAUUAGUACUAAUAAGAUUAAAAUGAAAUUAAUAUAUAAUUAUAAUUAAAUUUUAUAAUUUUAUUUGAAAUUUAUCAUUAAUAAAUAAUUGUUAUAAUUUUAUGAUAUUGAUAUAAAAAAAUUUAAUAAAAAACUAGGAUUAGAUACCCUAUUAUAAAAAUUAAUAGAAAAUAUUAAAUAAUUAAAUGUUGAAUCGUUAAAAUUACAUAAUAUGGCGGCUUUUUAUAUCUAGUUAGUGAAACUUGUUUAUUAAUUUGAUAUUCCACGAUAAGAAAUACUUAAGUUUUAUUUAUGUAUUUUUGUUUUAAUAAUUUAAAUAAAUUUAUGAUUAGUGAUAUUUUUUAUAAUAAUAAUUCAAAUCAAAAUAUAGUAUAUUUAAGAUUUCAAUGAGUUUCAAUAAAUUAAAUUUUUUGAAUAAUUUAUUUUAAGAUAAAUUUGAAAGAGAAUUUAAAAGUAUUAGAGAGCUAAAUUAUUGUAAUUACUUUAAUUGAAGAUAGUUUUAAAAAGUGUACAAAUCACCCGUCAAUUUCAUUUUAAAGUUGAAAUAAGUCGUAACAUAGUACUGGAGUACUGGAAAGUACUGGAAAGUACAAAAGUACUGGAAAGUGUUUUUUAGAUUUAA
rnacentral:ncRNA from 1 species